GGGUUGUUAGCUCAGUCGGUAGAGCAGCGGACUUUUAAUCCGUUGGUCGAAGGUUCGAAUCCUUCACGACCCA
rnacentral:tRNA from 1 species